rnacentral:rRNA from 1 species
CCUACGGGAGGCAGCAGUGGGGAAUAUUGCGCAAUGGGCGAAAGCCUGACGCAGCAACGCCGCGUGAGGGAUGACGGCCUUCGGGUUGUAAACCUCUUUCAGCAGGGAAGAAGCGAAAGUGACGGUACCUGCAGAAGAAGCACCGGCUAACUACGUGCCAGCAGCCGCGGUAAUACGUAGGGUGCAAGCGUUGUCCGGAUUUAUUGGGCGUAAAGAGCUCGUAGGCGGUUAGUCACGUCGGAUGUGAAAUCCCGGAGCUUAACUCCGGGCCUGCAUUCGAUACGGGCUGACUCGAGUAUUGUAGGGGAGACUGGAACUCCUGGUGUAGCGGUGAAAUGCGCAGAUAUCAGGAAGAACACCGGUGGCGAAGGCGGGUCUCUGGGCAAUUACUGACGCUGAGGAGCGAAAGCGUGGGGAGCAAACAGGAUUAGAUACCCUGGUAGUCCACGCCGUAAACGGUGGGCGCUAGGUGUGGGGACCCUUCCACGGUCUCCGUGCCGCNGCUACGCAUAGCGCCCGCCGUCGGGAGGUACGGCCGCGACGGACGUAAACGUACGAACGGAAGUAAGUACGGCGUUGAGACGUUGCCGACGGCGACGACGAGGGAGGAGG